rnacentral:rRNA from 1 species
CCUACGGGCGACAGCAGUGAGGAAUAUUGGUCAAUGGACGAGAGUCUGAACCAGCCAAGUAGCGUGAAGGAUGACUGCCCUAUGGGUUGUAAACUUCUUUUAUAUGGGAAUAAAACGUUCCACGUGUGGGAUUUUGUAUGUACCAUAUGAAUAAGGAUCGGCUAACUCCGUGCCAGCAGCCGCGGUAAUACGGAGGAUCCGAGCGUUAUCCGGAUUUAUUGGGUUUAAAGGGAGCGUAGGUGGAUUGUUAAGUCAGUUGUGAAAGUUUGCGGCUCAACCGUAAAAUUGCAGUUGAAACUGGCAGUCUUGAGUACAGUAGAGGUGGGCGGAAUUCGUGGUGUAGCGGUGAAAUGCUUAGAUAUCACGAAGAACUCCGAUUGCGAAGGCAGUUCACUGAACUGCAACUGACACUGAGGCUCGAAAGUGUGGGUAUCAAACAGGAUUAGAUACCCCGGUAGUC